rnacentral:rRNA from 1 species
UAACUUUCAGCAACGGAUCUCUUGGCUCUCGCAUCGAUGAAGGACGCAGCGAAAUGCGAUAAGUAAUGUGAAUUGCAGAUUUCAGUGAAUCAUCGAAUCUUUGAACGCACCUUGCGCUCCUUGGUAUUCCGAGGAGCAUGCCUGUUUGAGUGUCAUUA